AAAUAGUUUUUAAAGUUAAGGCUUGCGGUUUCAGUUAUUUCGGUGUGAUAAUAAUUUAUUUGGAAUUUUGAUCAUUAACAAGAAUUAUUCACUAUUUAUUUUCAUUUGCUCAUGUCUUCAGUUUCAUUCUGUUUUUGGCUAAUGGUUACUCUUGGCUAAUGUCAAAUUGAAUUUUGGUUUUGUAUAAUUUACAAGUUUGGGGUUGUUCAGUUAAAACAGAGUCUUAUAAACCAAAUGAAAAGAAACUGGACUUGAGGCAUAAGUUGGAUACUCUAAAAGGAUCUACGGGUACAUGUUUUAUGAUCCCACAAUUAAGUUUGGUAUUUGAAUGAGGAAAUGUUGGUUCUUUGAGGAUGUUGAGUUUGCAGGGGGAGAUAUGGUUAGAGACUUUGAUAUUCCCACAAUU
rnacentral:lncRNA from 1 species